GAUGAAGAACGUAGCGAAAUGCGAUAAGUAAUGUGAAUUGCAGAAUUCAGUGAAUCAUCGCAUCUUUGAACGCAUCUUGCGCUCCUUGGUAUUCCUUGGAGCAUGCCUGUUUGAGUAUCAUGAGCAAAUCUCAAAGUCAAUUCCUUUUGUUAAUUCAAUUGGUUUUGCUUGGACUUGGAGGUCUUGCAGAUUUUCACAGUCUGCUCCUCUUAAAUGCAUUAGCUGGAUCUCAGUAAUUAUGCUUGGUUCCACUCGGCGUGAUAAGUAUCACUCGCUGAGGACACUGUUAAAAAGGUGGCCAGGAAAAUACUGAUUGAACCGCUUCUAACGGUCUAUUAAGUUAGACAAUUACCCUUAAGUUUGAUCUCAAAUCAGGUAGGACUACCCGCUGAACUUAAGCAUAUCAAUAAGCGGAGGA
rnacentral:misc_RNA from 1 species